GGGUGACCUUAGGUGCAUGCGGACCAUGGUUGAAUAACUUGCUGAAAUUCACUGUACAGAUCUGCACAUGACAGCCACUUGGCUGUGUGGUUGACUGAAAUUCUUUUGUCCUGGUCCCUCUCAUUAGUGACUGGCUGGCAGCACUCAGAGCAUUCAGGAUCCUAGUCACAGAAUCAACUACGUCACUUCCCGUCUGGAUGAAGAAUUCUGUACUAUUAUGGUCACUCGCUCCAAGGAGCCUCACACAGUUAGAUUGCCAAAGCCAAGACUCCAGAAAAUGACUGCUCAACUAUCAACAUCUGCUAUUUAGUCUUCAUGAACUACCAGAGACAUUGAUCCAUAUAUCUUUAAAUGGUUUUUGUUUGGAUUUCUCAGUUCUAAUCUUUGUGCAUGUAUGUGGUGUUACUGUUUCUUCUCCUGUUUAGUAACUUAUAAACUCGCUCAUUUGGUAACUCAAGAAAAUGGGCUUCUUUUAAAACAUGGUUAAUUUGGUUUGGAAGAAGGUUCCUUUAAGGAGGGUAUCCCUUGCCAACUGAACAUGUUGCAACCAACCAAGGGGUUUGGUGAAUAAAGAAGGGCAGCCGGUUUAUCCCUGCUCACCCAGGAAUUUGACAACUCAGGGUAUCCCAUCUGGAACUGUAAUAUCUUGGGGGAGCUCACUCAGGGUCUGGUUGUGGCAUUACUCAAACCUUUCCUGUAGGGGCCAUUUCCUGCAGCUUUUUUAAAAAAGUUUUACCCUUCCAGGGAUAUAAAAAAAAUAAGGUUAUAAAUGAGCUCCAACCUUAAGCUAUGUCUAUUAGUGGGUUUACACCCUAGUGUGUGGACUAGUGUGCUGUGAAGAUUUCAGUUUGAGAACAAUCAUGAAACACCCCUGCACUGCAGGUAAACAAAGAGCAAAGUUACUAUCUCACUUGGAGUGCUGCCAGUUACCACUGUCAAAAGGAACCAGGACAAAAUAAAAUGUCAAUCAACCUGUAAUACUAAGAACCUCAAAAGAAACACAAGAGAAAGGAUUCUUCAGCUGAGGGAGAAAGUGAAUAAAGAAGGGGAGCCAAUUUGUCUGUCCUCACUGGGAGCUUGAUAAUUUGAGGUAUCCCAUUUGGAACUGUAAAGAAUUAGGGAUUCUCGUUGUAACAGCUGAAUUUGUAAUGCAACUGCUUACCUUUUUCUCUUUCACCGAUUUAAACCACUGAUGUGAAGUCAUUAAACUGCUGAGUGUAAGAAACA